rnacentral:rRNA from 1 species
AGUGUACGCUGGCGGUAGGCCUAACACAUGCAAGUCGAACGGCAGCACAGUAAGAGCUUGCUCUUACGGGUGGCGAGUGGCGGACGGGUGAGGAAUACAUCGGAAUCUACUUUUUCGUGGGGGAUAACGUAGGGAAACUUACGCUAAUACCGCAUACGACCUACGGGUGAAAGCAGGGGAUCUUCGGACCUUGCGCGAUUGAAUGAGCCGAUGUCGGAUUAGCUAGUUGGCGGGGUAAAGGCCCACCAAGGCGACGAUCCGUAGCUGGUCUGAGAGGAUGAUCAGCCACACUGGAACUGAGACACGGUCCAGACUCCUACGGGAGGCAGCAGUGGGGAAUAUUGGACAGUGGGCGCAAGCCUGAUCCAGCCAUACCGCGUGGGUGAAGAGGGCCUUCGGGUUGUAAAGCCCUUUUGUUGGGAAAGAAAAGCAGCAGGUUAAUACCCCGCUGUUCUGACGGUACCCAAAGAAUAAGCACCGGCUAACUUCGU